AGCCUUAGUAACAUAAUUACUCCUUUAGAAUUGCAGUCUAAUGUCAUUGUUGACUAUAAAGCC
rnacentral:tRNA from 1 species